GACGAACGCUGGCGGCGUGCCUAAUACAUGCAAGUUGAGCGCUGAAGGUUGGUACUUGUCCCGACUGGCUGAGCAGCGCACGGGUGAGUAACGCGUGGGGAAUCUGCCUUUGAGCGGGGGACAACAUUUGGAAACGAAUGCUAAUACCGCAUAAAAACUUUAAACACAAGUUUUAAGUUUGAAAGAUGCAAUUGCAUCACUCAAAGAUGAUCCCGCGUUGUAUUAGCUAGUUGGUGAGGUAAAGGCUCACCAAGGCGAUGAUACAUAGCCGACCUGAGAGGGUGAUCGGCCACAUUGGGACUGAGACACGGCCCAAACUCCUACGGGAGGCAGCAGUAGGGAAUCUUCGGCAAUGGACGAAAGUCUGACCGAGCAACGCCGCGUGAGUGAAGAAGGUUUUCGGAUCGUAAAACUCUGUUGGUAGAGAAGAACGUUGGUGAGAGUGGAAAGCUCAUCAAGUGACGGUAACUACCCAGAAAGGGACGGCUAACUACGUG
rnacentral:rRNA from 1 species